GUGAUAACAGUGUGCAUGGCUUUCAUGGCUCAUGUUGAUCUAAUAUAGUUAUAGCAUUCCUGUUAUUAGCAGAUUUCCAUUUACUUUGGUAGAUACAUUAUGCUCUGGCAGUGACCGUUAAACUGACUCAGAUGGGUUUUUUUUUUUUUUAAAUGAGGAAGGAUAGUUUUUUUUUGUUUUUUUCAUACUGGUACAGCGAAGAGUGGCUAUAUUGGGCAUAGUGUCUUAUAUUGAUGAAUAGGGGUUGUGUUGGAGAUAGUGUUUUUUCCCCUAUUGUUUGCUGCUGUGAGUCUGUAUUAGAGAUGGAGUAUUCACCCCAUGUGAGUGGCUACAUUGGGAAUGGUGCCCUCUCCCCAUACUGCUCGUAUGAAUGACCUUAUUGGAAGUUAAUUUUUCC